GACGCAUAGGUGUGGCCAUGUAGCUCGAUGCUGAGAGAGGAGCUUGCUCUUCUUGGAUGAGUUGCGAACGGGUGAGUAACGCGUAGGUAACCUGCCUUGUAGCGGGGGAUAACUAUUGGAAACGAUAGCUAAUACCGCAUAACAAUGGAUGACACAUGUCAUUUAUUUGAAAGGGGCAAUUGCUCCACUACAAGAUGGACCUGCGUUGUAUUAGCUAGUAGGUGAGGUAAUGGCUCACCUAGGCGACGAUACAUAGCCGACCUGAGAGGGUGAUCGGCCACACUGGGACUGAGACACGGCCCAGACUCCUACGGGAGGCAGCAGUAGGGAAUCUUCGGCAAUGGGGGCAACCCUGACCGAGCAACGCCGCGUGAGUGAAGAAGGUUUUCGGAUCGUAAAGCUCUGUUGUAAGUCAAGAACGGGUGUGAGAGUGGAAAGUUCACACUGUGACGGUAGCUUACCAGAAAGGGACGGCUAACUACGUGCCAGCAGCCGCGGUAAUACGUAGGUCCCGAGCGUUGUCCGGAUUUAUUGGGCGUAAAGCGAGCGCAGGCGGUUUGAUAAGUCUGAAGUUAAAGGCUGUGGCUCAACCAUAGUUCGCUUUGGAAACUGUCAAACUUGAGUGCAGAAGGGGAGAGUGGAAUUUCCAUGUGUAGCGGUGAAAUGCGUAGAUAUAUGGAGGAACACCGGUGGCGAAAGCGGCUCUCUGGUCUGUAACUGACGCUGAGGCUCGAAAGCGUGGGGAGCGAACAGGAUUAGAUACCCUGGUAGUCCACGCCGUAAACGAUGAGUGCUAGGUGUUGGAUCCUUUCCGGGAUUCAGUGCCGCAGCUAACGCAUUAAGCACUCCGCCUGGGGAGUACGACCGCAAGGUUGAAACUCAAAGGAAUUGACGGGGGCCCGCACAAGCGGUGGAGCAUGUGGUUUAAUUCGAAGCAACGCGAAGAACCUUACCAGGUCUUGACAUCCCGAUGCUAUUUCUAGAGAUAGAAAGUUACUUCGGUACAUCGGUGACAGGUGGUGCAUGGUUGUCGUCAGCUCGUGUCGUGAGAUGUUGGGUUAAGUCCCGCAACGAGCGCAACCCCUAUUGUUAGUUGCCAUCAUUCAGUUGGGCACUCUAGCGAGACUGCCGGUAAUAAACCGGAGGAAGGUGGGGAUGACGUCAAAUCAUCAUGCCCCUUAUGACCUGGGCUACACACGUGCUACAAUGGUUGGUACAACGAGUUGCGAGUCGGUGACGGCGAGCUAAUCUCUUAAAGCCAAUCUCAGUUCGGAUUGUAGGCUGCAACUCGCCUACAUGAAGUCGGAAUCGCUAGUAAUCGCGGAUCAGCACGCCGCGGUGAAUACGUUCCCGGGCCUUGUACACACCGCCCGUCACACCACGAGAGUUUGUAACACCCGAAGUCGGUGAGGUAACCUUUUGGAGCCAGCCGCCUAAGGUGGGACAGAUGAUUCCGCCUAAGGUGGACAGAUGAUUAGGUAGUCGCACAGCACAAUAAUCUGACUUAG
rnacentral:rRNA from 1 species